CGGCGUGAUGAUUGACGGGUCUGCUGAGCGGUGAUGACCCGUUGGAGCUCUGACC
rnacentral:snoRNA from 2 species